GCGGGGUUUGCGCAGUAGGCAGAGCAUCAGUUUCCCAAGCUGAAUGUCGCGAGUUCGAUUCUCCGUACCCCGCCCCA
rnacentral:tRNA from 1 species